rnacentral:rRNA from 1 species
GAUCCUGGCUCAGAUUGAACGCUGGCGGCAUGCUUUACACAUGCAAGUCGAACGGCAGCGCAGGGAGCUUGCUCCCGGGUGGCGAGUGGCGCACGGGUGAGUAAUACAUCGGAACGUGUCCUGUUGUGGGGAUAACUGCUCGAAAGGGUGGCUAAUACCGCAUGAGACCUGAGGGUGAAAGCGGGGGAUCGCAAGACCUCGCGCAAUUGGAGCGGCCGAUGCCCGAUUAG